rnacentral:sRNA from 1 species
ACCUAGUGGCAGCACCAGCUCAGGGCUGGAGGUGGUGGCUCCUGAGGGUACCUCAGCCCCAGGUGGUGGCCCAGGAACCCUGGAUGACAGUGCCACCAUUUGCCGUGUCUGCCAGAAGCCAGGCGAUCUGGUCAUGUGCAACCAGUGUGAGUUUUGUUUCCACCUGGACUGUCACCUGCCGGCCCUGCAGGAUGUACCAGGGGAGGAGUGGAGCUGCUCACUCUGCCAUGUGCUUCCUGACCUGAAGGAGGAGGAUGGCAGCCUCAGCCUGGAUGGUGCAGACAGCACUGGCGUGGUGGCCAAGCUCUCACCAGCCAACCAGCGGGUGAGGGCUGGGGUUACUUAGGUGGGGUUGCCCAGGGAGGCUUUAUAGGUGUUGCCCAGAGCUGUGACAUCCCUUACAAUGUUUGUAGAAAUGUGAGCGUGUACUGCUGGCCCUAUUCUGUCAUGAACCCUGCCGCCCCCUGCAUCAGCUGGCUACCGACUCCACCUUCUCCCUGGACCAGCCCGGUGGCACCCUGGAUCUGACCCUGAUCCGUGCCCGCCUCCAGGAGAAGUUGUCACCUCCCUACAGCUCCCCACAGGAGUUUGCCCAGGAUGUGGGCCGCAUGUUCAAGCAAUUCAACAAGUUAACUGAGGACAAGGCAGACGUGCAGUCCAUCAUC